CCGUUGCUUAACGCGAUAAGUUUCCCGGCCUGGGGGGCUACGGCCGGAAAGGUUAAAACUCAAAAGGAAUUUACCGGUUUCCCGCCCAAAGCAGCGGGGGCCUUUGGCUAAAUUCGGUGCUUCGCGUAAGAACCUUUCCUGGGUUUUACAUAUAAGUGGUAGUGAAGUGAAAGCGGAACGGGCCUUCGGGGAGCUUAUACAGGUGCUGCAUGGCUGUCGUCAGCUCGUGCCGUGAGGUGUCCGGUUAAGUCCGGUAACGAGCGCAACCCUCGCUGUAUGUUAUACGUGUCAUACGGGACUGCCGGUAUUAAGCCGGAGGAAGGCGGGGAUGACGUCAAGUCAGCAUGGCCUUUAUAUCCAGGGCUACACACACGCUACAAUGGUCGGUACAAUGGGUCGCAAAACCGCGAGGUGGAGCCAAUCCUCAAAACCGGCCUCAGUUCGGAUUGUAGGCUGCAACUCGCCUGCAUGAAGUUGGAGUUGCUAGUAAACGCGCGUCAGCACAGUGCGUUGAAUACGUUCCCGGGAAUGCCACUCCGCUCGUCACCUCAUCAAGGAGGAAACGCUAAAAGAAGUAAGUAUCUUUUCUCCAGAGACGCC
rnacentral:rRNA from 1 species